rnacentral:lncRNA from 1 species
CAACAAAGUCAUACUCCCUAAUGCUCUCCAAACAUUUCUACCAACUGAGAACCAAGCAUUCAAAUACAUGAACCUACAAGACCAAUCUCAGUCAAACACCACAGUGGCUGCUCCUUGCCCCCAGGGGGUCUUUAGAUGACUUUACGUUUUCUUCACAAACAGUAACUAUCUUACUAUUAAGAUGCUGUGGUAGACUUUGAUUGGCUAUGUUAAUUAGGUGAGUCAACGGAUCUUUUGAUUGCUAGAUUUUAAUACUUUGCAGUCAGCCUCCAGAGGAGGAAGUGACCAAAUAAGGGACUAGACCUUGAUGGCUAGCUUUAGGACUGUCAUCUAACAGUUUAGCAAGAAAAUGGGGGGGGAGGGGGGAGGCAAAGCCUGCCAGAACCUUGCUAGCCACACUCAAGCUGUCCCAACCCAGAGGCAAGAGGACUUAAACCUCUAUAACUCCAAACCUAAAUAAACCUUUUUUCCCUUUAAGUUGUUU